rnacentral:tRNA from 1 species
UUUAUGGUGUAAUAUAACACACCAGCUUUUCACGCUGGAAUUUUAAUCCUUUUUAAUAAAU